GCAAAUCAAUAUAAAUUGAUAUUUAUUUUAAUAUUUAUUUAUUAAUUUUUUUAUUCUUUUAUUUAAUUGUAUUAAAAAUAAUUAUAAAAUGAAAAUUGUUUUAGUAAUUUUUAAUGAAAAAAUAAAUUUAAUAAUAGUGUAUUAUUGUAUUGUGAAAGAUAAUUGAAAUAUUUUGAAAAAUUUUUAUUAAAAAAGAAAAUUUAAUUUAUUGUACCUUGUGUAUCAGGGUUUAUUAAAUAAUUAAUAAUUAUUUAUUAAUCUCGAUUUUAUAAGAGUUAAUAAUUUAUUAAAGUUAAUGUGUUAAAAUUAUUUUAAAUAAAUUAUUAGAAAUGAAAUGUUAUUCGUUUAUAAAGGUAUCUAGUUUUUUUAGAAAUAAAUUUAAUUUACAAGUUUUUAAUUUUUAAAUUAUUUAUUUAAUUUAAAAAAUUAUUAAUUUGAAUAUUUUAAGGGAUAAGCUUUAAAAUAAAAUUUUAAAAAUAAAUAGAUAAAAAAUAAAAAUAUAUGUUUAGAAUUAGCAAUUAUUUAUAAGUUUGUUAUAAAUUAUUUAUACAUUUAUAUUAUUUAUUAAAAUUUUAAUUUUUUAUAAAAAUUUUUUUAAUAAUGUUUUAUAAAAAUUAAUAAUGAUAAAAUUAGUAUAUAAAAAUAUCAAUUUUGUUUAGAUAAAUUUAUUAUGAUAAGUUUAUAUAAAGAACUCGGCAAAUUUUUUAUACUCGCCUGUUUAACAAAACAUGUCUUUUUGAGUUAUUUUUAAAGUCUGACCUGCCCACUGAAAAUUUUAAAUGGCCGCAGUAUUCUAACUGUGCAAAGGUAGCAUAANCAUUAGUCUUUUAAUUGAAGGCUGGAAUGAACGGUUGGACGAAGUAUAAUCUGUUUCAUAUAAAAUUAUAUUAGAAUUUUAUAUUUUAGUUAAAAAGCUAAAAUUUUAUUAAAAGACGAGAAGACCCUAUAAAUCUUUAUAUUUUUUUUUUAUUUAAAUUUUUUUGAUUUAGUUUAUUUUAUAAUAUAAAAUAUUUUGUUGGGGUGAUAUUAAAAUUUAAUGAACUUUUAAUUAUUAAAAAUCAUUAAUUUAUGAAUUGUUGAUCCUUUAUUAUUGAUUAUAAGAUUAAGUUACUUUAGGGAUAACAGCGUAAUUUUUUUUGAGAGUUCUUAUCGAUAAAAAAGUUUGCGACCUCGAUGUUGGAUUAAGAUAUAUUUUUAGGUGUAGUCGCUUAAAUGUUAAGUCUGUUCGACUUU
rnacentral:rRNA from 1 species